rnacentral:rRNA from 1 species
CAAUAGCGUAUAUUAAUGUUGUUGCAGUUAAAAAGCUCGUAGUUGGAUUUCUGAUGAGAGCCCUGGUCACUCUAACGAGUGUACUGAUGUGGCGUCUCGUCGUUUCAUGGGGAUGCUUGCUGGUAUUAAGUUAUCGGCUUGUGGAUCCAUGUCGUUUACUGUGAAAAAAUUAGAGUGUUCGAAGCAGGCCAUCGCUGUGAAUACAUUAGCAUGGAAUAAUAAGAUAGGACUGUGGUGCUAUUUUGUUGGUUUGCGUACUACGGUAAUGAUUAAUAGGGAUAGUUGGGGGUAUUCAUAUUCAAUUGUCAGAGGUGAAAUUCUUGGAUUUAUGGAAGAUGAACUACUGCGAAAGCAUUUACCAAGGAUGUUUUCAUUA